rnacentral:rRNA from 1 species
GCUUACGGCCACACCGCCUGGUUCACACGAUCUCGUUUGAUCUCGGAAGAUAAGAUAGGGUGGGCCUGGUUAGUACCUGGAUGGGAGACUGCCUGGGAAUACCAGGUGCUGUAAGCU